rnacentral:lncRNA from 11 species
AUGCUGGCUGAGAUCUUUUGGCAUGCCACCCAGCGUGCUGAUUACCACCGGGACCACCUGUACUGGUUUCUGCCAGAGGCUUUGCAGUUGGAUCUUGAGGUCCUGAUGACGGCUGAGUUUUUCCUGUCGUUUUUCAUCAAUUCGACUGUCACCUGGUAUGGAAACUUGGACCCAAUUCCCUUAUUUUCUUUGACAUCUCCAAAGGAAGACAACCUGUUACAUAGCCUUUCUUCUUGGACAGUAGGGCUGUAGCUGCUUGAAAUAAAAUUGAACUAGGAUUGGAAGAAACAAGCGUUUUUGAAAUGUUAUAUUUAUUUUGCUGAUCUUAAUCUUGUGCUGUCUUUCCUUUUCAAUAUUGAAUUUCUACCUAGAGCUUUGACAUUUGCAUUCAAGAUUUUUUUUGUGAUAUUAAAAGCACAUUCUUUAAAAUUUCCAACCCUAAUUAUGUUUCGCGCCUCCCUCCAAAUUGCACAUUAUGGGCUUUUCUUUAUUUUGUUGCUAUUUUUUUGUGCAAAGUAGGUGCAGCAG